rnacentral:rRNA from 1 species
GCUUGUCUCAAAGAUUAAGCCAUGCAUGUCUAAGUAUAAACAAAUCUAUACGUGAAACUGCGAAUGGCUCAUUAUAUCAGUUAUAGUUUAUUUGAUGGUUCAUACUACUUGGAUAACCGUAGUAAUUCUAGAGCUAAUACAUGCGUCAAACCCCGACUCCUGGGAGGGUUGUAUUUAUUAGAUGGAAACCAAUGCGGGGCAACCCGGUAUAUGGUGAUUCAUAAUAACUUUCGGAUCGAUCUUCGGAUCGAUGCAUCAUUCAAGUUUCUGCCCUAUCAGCUUUGGAUGGUAGGGUAUUGGCCUACCAUGGCUUUAACGGGUAACGGAGAAUUAGGGUUCGAUUCCGGAGAGGGAGCCUGAGAAAUGGCUACCACAUCCAAGGAAGGCAGCAGG